GCUGGGUGUGGUGAGGCACACCUGUAAUCCCUGCAAUUUGGAGGCUGAGGCAGGAGGAUCUCAAGUUUGAGGCCAGCCUCAGCAACUAGCGAGGCCCUAAACAGCUCCACAAGACCCUGUCUCAA
rnacentral:sRNA from 1 species